rnacentral:rRNA from 1 species
UUCUCCUACGGGACGCAGCAGUGGGGAAUAUUGGGCAAUGGGCGCAAGCCUGACCCAGCAACGCCGCGUGAAGGAAGAGGGCUCUCGGGUUGUAAACUUCUUUUAUCAGGGACGAAGCAAGUGACGGUACCUGAUGAAUAAGCCACGGCUAACUACGUGCCAGCAGCCGCGGUAAUACGUAGGUGGCAAGCGUUAUCCGGAUUUACUGGGUGUAAAGGGCGUGUAGGCGGGAAAGCAAGUCAGAUGUGAAAACCAUGGGCUCAACCUGUGGCCUGCAUUUGAAACUGUUUUUCUUGAGUACUGGG